rnacentral:misc_RNA from 1 species
ACUUAUCUCUUUUUCCUUUUUACAGAUGAAUAUUUCCGCGGCACGACCUAUUAACAAAAAAUGAUGAAAUCCAUCCGAAAAGAAUUGGCGCGUUACCCGGGUAAAAAGGUUCUUCCAUUAACAGAGCCGCGGUUGAAACCGUUCGACGUUGAAGCCACUUUCGCGGAAGUAGCACUGGCAAGAAAAGAGCACACGAGAAAAUAUCACGGCCCCGACUCGCUCUUGUACUCGGCUAUUUACCCCGUGGUGUGCAUAAUGAAAGUGUUCGGUUUGGCGCCCUACGAUUUCACAGGUGACGAGAUAACACCCUCGAACGCCUGCCUCCUAUUCUCGUUCGCCUUUAUUGGUGUUUAUUGCCACAUCAUAUACAUCGUGUACAAAAGAUUCCUCGGCAUAAGGAGGGACAAAGCGAUUCUCAGCGUGGUGGAAACGACCAAGGUAACCGUCAAUUACCUGGUGGCUAUGUACGAUAUAAUUUCCACGAUAUUCACGAGGAAAAGGUUCAGCCGAAUUUGGAACGCCCAGCAAGAUUUCGACGAGAGGCUGAGCCAAUUAGGGUAUCCGCGAAAAGAGACCAAGGUCAAGAUCGCGAUUUGGAUACUUUUGGCGAGUCAGAUCGUUACUUGGACGGCCGUUAAUCAGAGUGGGAUGUUUGCUUUCGAAGAGACGUGGACGUUCAACGUGAGUUACAUGUGUCCUUACAUCGGCACUGCGACAGCUGUGUACAAAUUUUUCGGAAUGGUAAGCUUUCUCGGCCUCCGUUUCCAUCAGCUCAAUCAAAUCGCGAAAGAGAAUUUACCCCCCAAAGUUGGAUAUAAAAGUAGCAACAUCAGCAGACAGCGAGACACUAGGGUCUCUUUACUCGUGGUCGCUAUUGUUCUGGCUUGGAAAUUUGAGUAUACACAGCGUCAGCAAUUUGUACUUCAUCAUCGAUUGGGUCAUCUUGACACCCUGGACCAACAUUGCUUGGCCUCUCAUAUUCAACAUGUGGUGUUGGCUGAUCGGAUUUAUAACCCAGCUUUUGGCCCUUCAUAUCGCUUGCGAUUAUACGAUAAACGAGGCUAACUUUAUGAGCGCCAUUCUCAUCGAAUGGGAAGCAAGAACACUACAAAAAUUUCCAUACGAAGAUAGUUUUCGUACUUCGUUGUACUCGUUGAACAGACGUCUUUGUUUCUCCGCUGCUGGUCUUUUCG